rnacentral:rRNA from 1 species
AGCGGAUGACCUGUGGCUGGGGGUGAAAGGCCAAUCAAACCGGGAGAUAGCUGGUUCUCCCCGAAAGCUAUUUAGGUAGCGCCUCGUGAAUUCAUCUCCGGGGGUAGAGCACUGUUUCGGCUAGGGGGCCAUCCCGGCUUACCAACCCGAUGCAAACUGCGAAUACCGGAGAAUGUUAUCACGGGAGACACACGGCGGGUGCUAACGUCCGUCGUGAAGAGGGAAACAACCCAGACCGCCAGCUAAGGUCCCAAAGUCAUGGUUAAGUGGGAAACGAUGUGGGAAGGCCCAGACAGCCAGGAUGUUGGCUUAGAAGCAGCCAUCAUUUAAAGAAAGCGUAAUAGCUCACUGGUCGAGUCGGCCUGCGCG